GUCGGUGAGGCGGCAGCGGCGGCGGCGGCGGCUCGGCAGGCGGGUUCAGGCUUCAGGGGCCAGCCGCCGCCAUGAUCCUGCUGGAGGUGAACAACCGCAUCAUCGAGGAGACGCUCGCGCUCAAGUUCGAGAACGCGGCCGCCGGAAACAAACCAGAAGCUGUAGAAGUAACAUUUGCAGGUAAGUAUCC